UGGGGAAUUUUGGACAAUGGGCGAAAGCCUGAUCCAGCCAUGCCGCGUGAGUGAAGAAGGCCUUCGGGUUGUAAAGCUCUUUUAGUCGGAAUGAAAAGAUCAUAAUGAACAAUUAUGAUUCAUGACGGUACCGACAGAAAAAGCACCGGCUAACUACGUGCCAGCAGCCGCGGUAAUACGUAGGGUGCGAGCGUUAAUCGGAAUUACUGGGCGUAAAGGGUGCGCAGGCGGUUUUGUAAGUCAGAUGUGAAAUCCCCGGGCUUAACCUGGGAAUUGCGUUUGAAACUGCAAGACUAGAGUGCAGCAGAGGGGAGUGGAAUUCCAUGUGUAGCAGUGAAAUGCGUAGAGAUGUGGAAGAACACCGAUGGCGAAGGCAGCUCCCUGGGUUGACACUGACGCUCAUGCACGAAAGCGUGGGGAGCAAACA
rnacentral:rRNA from 1 species